AGCGAACGCUGGCGGCAGGCCUAACACAUGCAAGUCGAACGAACUCUUCGGAGUUAGUGGCGGACGGGUGAGUAACACGUGGGAACGUGCCUUUUGGUUCGGAAUAACUCAGGGAAACUUGUGCUAAUACCGAAUGUGCCCUUCGGGGGAAAGAUUUAUCGCCAUUAGAGCGGCCCGCGUCUGAUUAGCUAGUUGGUGAGGUAUCGGCUCACCAAGGCGACGAUCAGUAGCUGGUCUGAGAGGAUGACCAGCCACACUGGGACUGAGACACGGCCCAGACUCCUACGGGAGGCAGCAGUGGGGAAUCUUGCGCAAUGGGCGAAAGCCUGACGCAGCCAUGCCGCGUGAAUGAUGAAGGUCUUAGGAUUGUAAAAUUCUUUCACCGGGGACGAUAAUGACGGUACCCGGAGAAGAAGCCCCGGCUAACUUCGUG
rnacentral:rRNA from 1 species